rnacentral:tRNA from 1 species
GACCAGGUAGCUUAACUUAAAGUCAAGAGCGUUGCUUUUUUAAAGGCAAAGGUGGCGGUGCGAAUCCGUUCUCAGGUCC